UUUAUUUAUACCGAAAAGAAUGCAUACUUUCACUCAUCAACGACCGCGGAUACAAAUAACUUUGUGAGACGAUACUGCACGGGCAAGUUUUUGUUGUGAAAAAUGCUUGCAAAUCAUUGGUCGACGUUUUUAUUCGGUUAUGGUUAAUGUAAAAGAUUGAUGUAAAAAGUAUAUAAAUGGCAUCAAUUGAACCGUUCUGCCAUUGCAAAGUAUUCUUCCACCUUCUACGAAUUCGAUAAAAAGCGAUCGAGUCAGUAACGACGGGAAAGAUGAUGCUUGUUCGACUUUUGUUUUUUUUCGCACUUUGUGCAUUGGCGCUCGGCAACUACUAUCAACCGAAAAAGUGCUACGUGAAAAAGGUUAGUUUCACUUACUCCAAAAAAUAUCCUUUUGGAGACUUCAAUGGUCCAUAUGCUGAACCCAAACCACGCGGAGAAUAUUGCCGAAGUUCACAUUUUGCGCCCGCAAAGGCAGGAUAUUGUCCAAAUCACAAAUAUGGUUAUACAACAUAUGACAA